GUCCUACGGGGGCAGCAGUGGGGAAUAUUGCACAAUGGGGGAAACCCUGAUGCAGCGACGCCGCGUGAAGGAAGAAGUAUCUCGGUAUGUAAACUUCUAUCGGCAGGGAAGAAAACGGACGGUACCUGACUAAGAAGCCCCGGCUAACUACGUGCCAGCAGCCGCGGUAAUACGUAGGGGGCGAGCGUUAUCCGGAUUUACUGGGUGUAAAGGGAGCGUAGACGGCUGGGCCAGCCUGAUGUGAAUGGCGGGGGCGCAACCCUCGGACU
rnacentral:rRNA from 1 species